GCAUAGGCUUCUUUGCUACUGGCUUUAUCCCUAAAGAAGCCACCAACAUACCAUUAAAUAUUUAAU
rfam:Taeniopygia guttata chromosome 5, whole genome shotgun sequence.